AUGUGGGGGAGCCAUGUGGAGGAACUGCUAGGAGUCAGCUCUCGGGGCUGGGCUGGAUGUGCAGGCCCAACUGAAAUGACAAAUGAAAAUCUAGUCACCGCCUGCCCCCGCACCUCCAGAAAAGGAUCAGUGCUGGGCCUGCAGGCACAGCUGGAUCCAGGUGCUCCAGUAACACCAGCAAGAAAGACUCUCCACUCUGCCUCUGCACGGCUGAGUCUCAGUCCAGCUCCCCUCAAGACAGCCGGUCCUACCAGCCCCAACCAUGAGGCGCUCCCUCUGAGCCAUGCCUGCACCCCCUCUCUGCCCUGCACGGCUCUCCUUCCUAGCACACCUGCCCUGCUACCACCCCCCUGCCACAUCCCGGGAUCUGUCCCCCGAGAUACAAACGGACUCCGGCAUCUCCACCUUCAAACAGCCCACUGGGUCCUCACCAGGGGCACAUUCCAGCCCACAACCUCAGGCCCUGGCCGCGCCCACCACCCUCCCCACCCUAGUGGCCCUGGCUUCCCUGGGCAGCUGCCCCCCCGAUUCCCUCCCACCUCUCAGGUUCCUGGUCCCCAUCUGUCACCAUUAGUCCUUGUCCUGGCCUUUGCCUGUUGCCUGGCACCCCCAGAGACCCCCAUGGCCACAGCCCCAGCCUGGACCUCCCCCUUCAGUGCACAAACCCCCUUUUGUUCACCCUGUGCCAACGCCAGAACCGGGGACCCUUCCGCAUCACCCCCUCACAUCCGGUCCACAACCGGAGAGCCCCUCUGCCUCACCCCCCCACAUCCGGCCCAGAACCAGGGGCCCCUCGGCCCCACAUCCGGUCCGGAACCGGGGAGCCCCUCUGCCUCACCCCCCCCACAUCCGGCCCAGAACGGGGUCCCUCGGCCCCACAUCCGGUCGGUCCAGCCACGACCACCUCCACUCCCCCCUCCAAGGCCACCCCCCGCCCACCUGUGCCUCCCGCCUGUGCCUUGCUCUGGGCCACUUCCGGCCAAGCCGGUCUGCACUGGACGCCAAUUUGCUUUUUAUUCUCAUCCGCCCAUUUUGGCAUCUCUGAGCUAUCGUUGA
rnacentral:lncRNA from 1 species